rnacentral:rRNA from 1 species
UACAGAGGGUGCAAGCGUUGUUCGGAAUUAUUGGGCGUAAAGGGUGCGUAGGCGGGUCUUUAAGUCAGAGGUGAAAUCCUGGAGCUCAACUCCAGAACUGCCUUUGAUACUGAAGAUCUUGAGUUCGGGAGAGGUGAGUGGAACUGCGAGUGUAGAGGUGAAAUUCGUAGAUAUUCGCAAGAACACCAGUGGCGAAGGCGGCUCACUGGCCCGAUACUGACGCUGAGGCACGAAAGCGUGGGGAGCAAACAGG